CAGUCUCAGCUGAAACUCUUUGCUAUAUUAGGCAUCUAUUACAUGCCGAUUGUGGUCUUGGAUACAACUACAAGAAGGAAAUAACCCCUGUCCUCCAAGUAUCUGUUACUUCGGGGAAAGAGUCAUUAGGAUCAUGUAGGAAAACCAACAUUGCCCAAACGAUGGGGGCUCAUUUCUCAGACUCAUUGGACCAAAAAGAGACAUCGGAUUUGCUCUUCUGGCUCCCGGGGAAAAUUCAGGACUGGCUUCUCCAGGCCCCUCAUGUGAUCCACUCCCGGCGCAGAGCACGUGCUCCCCAACACUCUGACUGGGUCCCAAGUGGGGCUUUAUUCUGGGAAAAACCACUGCCGGCAACAACAAGCCCAGAAAGGCCAGAAAAUAAAGUUCCCUGAAUCACCCCCCUUUGUCAGGGGAACAUCAGACAGUUGGAAGCUGCAGUGAGUUCUGCUGUCCUCUCAGUCACGCGGAUUCUGCUUCUCUCUAACCCGGGGAGGGUUUGCAGCCCAGUAAUGUGCUUUUAACGUCUUCCA